CUGAUCCAGCCAUGCCGCGUGAGUGAAGAAGGCCUUCGGGUUGUAAACCUCUUUCGUCAGGGAAGAUAAUUACCGUGCUAAUACAACAAGCUCAUGACAGUUCCUUAACAACAACCACCGGCAAACUACGUGCCACCACCCUCGUUAAUACUUCUGGUGCUAACGUUAAUCUAAAUUACUGGGCGUAAAGCGUGCGAAAGCCGUUAUCUAAAACAGGUGUGAAAUCCCCGGGCUUAACCUGGUGAACUGCACUUGUGACUGCAGGGCUUGAGUACGGUCAGAGGGGGAUGGAAUUCCGCGUGUAGCAGUGAAAUGCGUAGAUAUGCGGAGGAACACCGAUGGCGAAGGCAGUCCCCUGGGCCUGUACUGACGCUCAUGCACGAAAGCGUGGGGAGCAAACAGGAUUAGAUACCCUGGUAGUCCACGCCCUAAACGAUGUCAACUGGUUGUUGGGAAGGUUUCUUCUCAGUAACGUAGCUAACGCGUGAAGUUGACCGCCUGGGGAGUACGGCCCGCAAGGUUGAAACUCAAAGGAA
rnacentral:rRNA from 1 species